AGGUUAAUACAUUCAGAGCAUUGUCCAAAUUUACAUUCAGAGGUUCACCUUCUCAUGUGUUCAGAUCAGAGAGGAAGGUCUGGGGAGUGUUUCAGUAUUCACUCUAGUGAUGAACAUAUGGCAUCAAACUAAAUAACUAAGCUUGCAAGGAGAUAUGCUAAAUUUGACAUCUCAUCUCAGACUUUAUAAUGCAAACCAAAUCUGUGUUAAGUGUGAACAUGUGAUGGACGGUUUGACAUUAUGUCUGUUGUCUGAACCUGUUGGGGCAUCGCUGUGUUAUAUUUGUCACUGUAUUCUAAUGGACCUUGCAGGGCCGAACAAUAAGGAAUGACCAAUUUCCAGGGCAAGUAAAAUACCACGUCGGGCUAGUAAAUAUCUACUCCCUUGCCUGAUCGGGCAACAAAUUGUUUUUUCCGGAGCGGAUAAUGGAAGUAGUUAAGGAGUGACCAAAGUCGUUUCCUUCUCAUCUCUGUUGAGAGUUGCUCCGUACCGAUCGGGCACUCACGAGAAAAUGGCAGCGGGUAAAGACAAAGUUUAUGAGCUGAAGCACAAGCGAGCAUUUCAAAUUAUUCUGGAAACAGGAGUUUAGUUGGGUGGCGUUAGAGCAUGGGGG